rnacentral:sRNA from 1 species
GGGGUUGUUUCGGAUUCGACAUUUGGUUACCGUAUUAAUUUAACUAGUGGUUCGUAAAACCAUAAUUUUCUAUAACAAAUGCAAAUAAUAUCUGUAACU